CUUCAGGGACCUGGGUAGGACGCCUUAAAAACAUGAGCACAUUUAAUCUUCACAAGAACCCCAUAAGAGAGAGAUUAUUAUUCCUAUUUUACAGGAGGGAACAAACUGAGGCUUAGAAAGGAUAGGGAAGUCGUUGAAGGUCAAGUUCAUCCAGCUAGCAAGGAGUGGAGCUGAGAAUCUCAACCCACAUCACUGACCCCAAAGCCAAAGCCACAGGCCACUUGUCUGUGCUGCCCCAGAGCUGAGCUGAGAAAGGGCCAUUCUCCCCACAGGGGAGGGCAGGCUUUGUCACAGCAGUGGAGGCCCACGAGCCCUGCCUGGGUGUCGUUGCUCAGGGACCUGCCAUUUCCCGCGGCGGCUCUGGUUUCUGCAGAGGGCCAUCAGCCCUGACCAGGAAGUGGAGCAGGAUCUUCAGGUGGGGCUGGAUUUCUCAGGAAGACUGCUGGAAACCUGUGUAGCAGCAGCUCUCAGCCACAGCCCAGGGCCGAGGGCUGGCGGCCCACAGCUGGGGAAGGACAAGUCCAUUCCUGGAUGGCUCUUCUGCUUACGUUGCACUUCCAGGAGCUGAUUAUCUAGAAGUGGGCUCCUGCCGUGAGCAAAACACGGUGCUAGCUCUUGGGGGAGGGAGUAAGACUGACCUCAAUGAGCUGAUUUUGAAGUAGAAGAGAAGGGUAUCUACCCAAACUAGGAUGCACUGGUAAAGGUUUAAUAAGCAGCUUUCCCCGGGGGAAAAAAUACCUGAUUAUAGCAUUUGCCGGUUUCCAUGGUAUAAAUAUUCCCAUCAUGGCCUAUUUCAAGGGACCAGUGUGACAUCUGUGGAAGAGGUUGCAGAAUCAGGUCUUGAGAGCAAGUGGAAGCCGGAUCCAGCAUACCAGUGACCCCCGCUCACCAUGUGGCAAGGCAAUUUGUAAAACGUGCUAAAGUAGAAGAAGAAUAUAAUUCUUUGGCCCCUGGACAGGGGAGCAAUACCUCUGACUGAGCUUCCUGGGGAGGUUUCAAAGAGAAACUGUAUUUGGUUUGGGCCUGGAGGAAGCACAUGGCUUUCACCGGGGGAGCAGUGAAGGGAGGUCCUCCAGGUGGACAGAGCAGCCUGAGCCGAGGAAGCACGUACACGCCCACUAUGCCGGAGGACCAGGGUCCUAUUUGACCUGGAGGCCAGAUCACAGCAGGCCCCAUAAACUUGGCUGAGGAGGUUGUCCUUUGUCUUGUCAGGAGAUAAGGUGGGGGAGACAGUGAUGCAUCUUAAGCAGGAGAAUGACAUCGUAAGAUUUGUUUUAUUGUGUUUCUUUUGAAUCCUGAUUUUGUCAUAUUUUCUAAAAGAUUCUGUAUGUUCAUUACAAAAACAAAUCAAGCAAUGCAUCAAAGUACAAAAAGAUGCCUUUUCAUAUUAGGUGAACAUCUUCCCAACAUGUUUCCAUACAUAGGCACAGACAAAAGCUUAGACAGAUAUAUAGAAACAACAUGAAAUAAAUGAAAAUACAAGUAAAAGAAAAAAGAGAGA
rnacentral:lncRNA from 1 species